GAUGAACGCUGGCGGCGUGCCUAAUACAUGCAAGUCGAGCGAACGGACUAGAAGCUUGCUUCUCUGAUGUUAGAGGCGGACGGGUGAGUAACACGUGGAUAACCUACCUAUAAGACUGGGAUAACUUCGGGAAACCGUAGCUAAUACCGGAUAAUAUUUUGAACCGCAUGGUUCAAAAGUGAAAGACGGUCUUGCUGUCACUUAUAGAUGGAUCCGCGCUGCAUUAGCUAGUUGGUAAGGUAACGGCUUACCAAGGCAACGAUGCAUAGCCGACCUGAGAGGGUGAUCGGCCACACUGGAACUGAGACACGGUCCAGACUCCUACGGGAGGCAGCAGUAGGGAAUCUUCCGCAAUGGGCGAAAGCCUGACGGAGCAACGCCGCGUGAGUGAUGAAGGUCUUCGGAUCGUAAAACUCUGUUAUUAGGGAAGAACAUAUGUGUAAGUAACUGUGCACAUCUUGACGGUACCUAAUCAGAAAGCCACGGCUAACUACGUG
rnacentral:rRNA from 1 species